GUAGCGAAAUUCCUAGCCUUUUAAUUGGAGGCCUGCAUGAAUGGCUUGACGAGCGCCCUGCUGUCUCUCUUCCCAUGAACUUUUAAAUUAACUUUCGCGUGCAAAGGCGCGAAUGGCUGAGUUAGACGAAAAGACCCUAUGCAUCUUUACUGAGAGAGAAGAAAGUUCUUUAGCUUGGUUUAGCUGGGGCAGCUGAGGAAAAGGCAAAAUUUCCUUAAUAUAAAUCAUACUGGUGGGUUUAGAUCCAGGCUCUUUAGCGGGCUUGACAAGUAGAAAAGUUACGCUAGGGAUAACAGCGUUAUCCUUCUGUGGAGGUCUUAUCUGCAGGAGGGAUUGCGACCUCGAUGUUGAAUUAGGGAUAUACCAGAAAGGCGCAGAAGCUUUUAUUGUGGGUCUGU
rnacentral:rRNA from 1 species